rnacentral:rRNA from 1 species
AGAGUUUGAUCAUGGCUCAGGAUGAACGCUAGCGGGAGGCCUAAUACAUGCAAGUCGAACGGUAACAGGGGUAGCAAUACCUGCUGACGAGUGGCGCACGGGUGCGUAACGCGUACACAACCUGCCUUAUACUGGGGCAUAACCUUGGGAAACUGAGGCUAAUUCUCCAUAACAUAUCGAAAAGGCAUCUUUUUGAUAUUAAAACUCCGGUGGUAUAAGAUGGGUGUGCGUCCGAUUAGGUAGUUGGUGAGGUAACGGCUCACCAAGCCAACGAUCGGUAGCUGGUCUGAGAGGAUGAUCAGCCACACGGGCACUGAGACACGGGCCCGACUCCUACGGGAGGCAGCAGUAGGGAAUAUUGGACAAUGGGCGCAAGCCUGAUCCAGCCAUCCCGCGUGAAGGAUUAAGGCCCUCUGGGUUGUAAACUUCUUUUCUCUGGGAAUAAAAAGUGGGGUUCUCCCUACCUUGAAGGUACCAGAGGAAUAAGCACCGGCUAACUCCGUG